AGACUCCACUCGGGGUCUGCUGGCUCCGGAGCUGCCGAAAGGUGGAUACACAAAACCAAAAGCCAAAGUUGGAAGA
rfam:Otolemur garnettii contig051360, whole genome shotgun sequence.